UACGAAGGGGGCUAGCGUUGCGCGGAAUUACUGGGCGUAAAGCGUGCGCAGGCGGUUGUGCAAGACAGGUGGGAAAUCCCCGGGCUCAACCUGGGAAUUGCAUUUGUGACUGCACGGCUAGAGUGUGUCAGAGGGGGGUAGAAUUCCACGUGUAGCAGUGAAAUGCGUAGAGAUGUGGAGGAAUACCGAUGGCGAAGGCAGCCCCCUGGGAUAACACUGACGCUCAUGCACGAAAGCGUGGGGAGCAAACAGG
rnacentral:rRNA from 1 species